CUUGCCUGGAGGAUCUCAUUGGGAUGGUAGAUGACAUUACCAAGUGGGACUGCAAGAACUUCAGAAGACAAUCUACCUAGGCCUACAAGAACAUGUCUCCAGCCAAUACCACCAAAGUCAUGUUAUUCCAGACAUACUGUCUCCUCGGUGAGCUGCAGCUACGGACGCAGGAUCUAGAAAAGGCCUUUAAGCCAUCCUUCACGCUGAAAAUGAUAACUGAAGACCCCAGAGUCUUGAAAAUCUGAAGUUUGAGAUUUUGGCCAAAUUAAGUAAUCUAGAUGGGCCAGCUGAGGAGGUGGAAUAGCAUUCUGGAAGUGUCUUAAAUAAACAACAAGCCUUCUCUGA